rnacentral:rRNA from 1 species
UGGGGAAUCUUGCGCAAUGGGCGAAAGCCUGACGCAGCCAUGCCGCGUGAAUGAUGAAGGUCUUAGGAUUGUAAAGUUCUUUCGCCCGUGACGAUGAUGACGGUAACGGGAGAAGAAGCCCCGGCUAACUUCGUGCCAGCAGCCGCGGUAAUACGAAGGGGGCUAGCGUUGUUCGGAAUUACUGGGCGUAAAGCGCGCGUAGGCGGUUUUGCAAGCCAGAGGUGAAAUGCCUGAGCUCAACUUAGGAAUUGCCUUUGGGACUGCGAGGCUUUGAGGACGAGAGAGGUGAGUGGAAUUCCCAGUGUAGAGGUGAAAUUCGUAGAUAUUGGGAAGAACACCGGUGGCGAAGGCGGCUCACUGGCUCGUCUCUGACGCUGUAGCGCGAAAGCGUGGGGAUCAAACAGGAUUAGAUACCCCGGUAGUCCCUGAGCGGGCUGGCAAGGCGCAU